UACGGAGGGGGCUAGCGUUGCUCGGAAUUACUGGGCGUAAAGCGCGCGUAGGCGGCUUGACAAGUUGGAGGUGAAAGCCCGGAGCUCAACUUCGGAAUUGCCUUCAAGACUGUCUCGCUCGAGGCAGGGAGAGGAGAGCGGAAUACCCAGUGUAGAGGUGAAAUUCGUAGAUAUUGGGUGGAACACCGGUGGCGAAGGCGGCUCUCUGGCCCUGAUCUGACGCUAAGGCGCGAAAGCCAGGGGAGCAAACGGG
rnacentral:rRNA from 1 species